UCCCCCUUUCCUCCUCUUCCCUGUACCCAUCACGGCGGCCCUUCGCCGCAUCGCAACGCACCCGCCGGAGAGUCCGACACCGUCCCCCCGUCGGAGACGGUAUGGCGUGGACUUUCGCAGCCUCGACCCCUCCGCCGGAAAGUCUGCGGCGGCUGCGGAGGCGGCAUCAGGGUGUAUGAAGACGAAGAAACAGCCCUGCGUCCUCUGCAGCACGAUCUAGCCGAGAUCGAGAAUUUCCUCCUCCGACCGCGCCAUCCGGACUUCCAGAUCAGGGAAUCAAUUACUUGUAGUCAAAUAAGAUAAAUUAUCUAGCCAGAUUCCAGAAUCCUCAGAGAAGCUGAUCCAAGGCUGACAGAUUAACAUGUUUUGAGAUGGAUAUGGCCCCUGGCAACUUGGCAGUUGCAAUUGUAUAUUUUUGUUGUUUUAGGCCUUGCAAGGCUUGCUGUAAGCGUUUGUUUGAAGGACGAUCUCCAUCUUGACCCAGCAGAGGUAAGCCAUCUUAUUACAUUUUCAGUUUAUCACUUGGAUUCUCUGUCUCUCAGUUUAUAUGUUUAGUGUGUGUGUCCUUUCUUUGUAUGAUUUGCAAAUGCUGCUCAGCUGAAUAUAAUCUGACUGAAACUGGGUGUUUUAUUUUUCAUCAUCAUUAAUCUCAAAUAAGUCAUUCAUUCAUGAUGUAUAAAUUGACUCUCUCCCAUCUGAUUUAGACAGCAAUUAUAACUGGUCUGAACUUUUCAGUCUA